CUGAGCCACACACCGCCCUCAAUAACAGGAAUCCACUUCCACAGAGUGAUAGCGGCCGACCAGAAUGACCCAUCUCAGGACCAAGGCAGGCCAGCUCUAGGAUCCAGCCCCAGCUGCUGCCGCAACCACUUCUUCUCCCUGCUGCUAAGCUAUGACACAGAUGAAGCUUUUAACCCCCUGGCUGGUGCAGUGCAGAAGGAGACAUCCCACUACUGAACACUGCCAAAACCCCCUGGUCUGUGGGCCGGAUCCAGCCUACAGGCCAUAGGUUACUAAACUCUGCUUUAAAUGUGUGUUAAAGAGCUUGUGCUUCUGUUAUCAUUGUUCCAUCUUGGGGAAAAUCUUUACCCUAUAUCCUGUGUUGUACAUGAAUACUAUAUUAAAAUUCAUCAGUUAUUUUAGGCUUUGCAGUGGUAUUUCCCCAUAACUGAUUAGUACUUAUUUUGGUACUUCCAUUACUUUAGAUGGAAAAACAAAUUCUUUUAGUACAAAAUUAUACUUGAUUCUGUAUAGUUAAAUCUAGAUGUUUUAUCAGUAAAUUUAGCAAAAAAACAGGGAUUCUUUAUUCUUGAAUUUUGGUUUAGUAUCUCUUAUUAUAAUUCUCAGAAAUCUAUGUCAUAAAAAAUAUGGAUAUUAUAUACCCGCUGAAGCUGUGGUAUCUAAUUGCAGUUACUUUGAAAAAAACUGAUAAGCUAUUCUAUAAUUAUCAGGUAGUCAGCAUUUUCCUGGCAUUUUGACUUGCAGGUGCUUCAUCGAGUAGUCUAGUUUCUAUCUGCUGGGAAUCUCUGUAUGUCAUGUAAGUUCCUGUGUCUUCAAUUCACACACUUUCAGCCUUGCAAAAUCUUUUAUUAGGCGCAUCACGAGGUGAAAUGAAACAUUUCUGGUGCAGAACAUUCCAAAAAACAAGCGCAAGAAGUAAAAUCUGCCAAACAGUGUACUGAAUGUGAACAUUUUGAAGUUUCCUGUAUCCAAGGGGAUCUGCUAAAAACCUACCAGUACAUAGGCAAGUAAAACUGUAGCCCUUGUUCAAACCCUUACGGUCAGCGCAUAGGCUGAGCCUACUCUCUUGUUUCAGACCAGUCACUACAAAGUAAACUUCUGCCUCCUAGCUCUUCCAGUCUAAAGCCAUACCAUCUCUCCGUCUCUGCAGCAGGCUGUCUUCAGGCAGCACACAGUAGGUUCUCCCAUCUCCCAAAAGGGUACAACGUAUCUUACCAGGUUAUAUCUCUGUCUUUUGAUCGGGUAUGCAUGUGAUACAAUUAGCUCAUUCACGUUUGAUUCAGAUUUGGUACUGAGUUUCCAUGGCUCCUACCUGCCUGACUGGCUAUCAGAUGUUCAAAAGGAGACACUUCUUCCGGACUUCCCAGGUCCCCUGGCAUGCCUGAGCAAUGACUGAUUACAGUCUGUCCCCGAGUGGCCUUUCACCCACCUUUUUACUGUAGGAGCCCCAAACUCUCUUAUAUUAAAAUGAGCAAGAUUUGGAAUAUGUCAAAUUCUCCAAAUGAUCGUUUUUCUAGGGACACAGUAAGCCUCAAACCUUUUCAUUACAUCUUCAGAGCUCUUUUUCCUUCCCUUUCUCCUCCCGAUCAUCCGUUUGAAAUGCAUUGCAUACAUCCUGCACACCAGCCCCCAGUCAAAAACAGUGGAAUUUUGUUGCUCAUCUUCCAUUUUACUAGCCCCUAUGGCUUUCAGACACAGUUCAAAUUGCUGUUUGAACCUUUUCCAGAACUCCUCAGCAUUCCCCCAUAAUUUUUAAGGCUGAUGGGGGAUUUACAUGUUGCAGUCACACAAGCUCCACAGCAGCCAUUUUUAUUUUACCUUUCUCCUUGCUGUAGUCAGCAUCACUUACAUCAAACAUUUGUACUCUUCUCUUGGGCUGCACUCAGCACUCUGUGCCUUCCAUAUGAUUGUAUCAUGUGGUAUGUUCAGUGACGUUCGAGGCAGAUGCUAGGAUAACUUAAGUAGCAAGAUAUUAUUUAUAUAGUAAACACAGUAGUGAUGCUGUUAUAAACUAGACUAACUGUAUUUCUUCUUCAGUCUCUGUAACUGGUUUUGCGUGUUUCUGCAUGUGCACGCAUAAGUAGAAGACAGAGGUCUCAACAAGAAGUACAAUACUGCAGCGUGACCUUAAAGAUGUGUGAAUAUUAAACUUCCUGCUCAACCUUACUCUUAAUAGCACAAACACACUAAAAUUAAAUUCAUUCUUGAGUUUCAAUAAUUAUUUGUAAGUAAUUGCAUUAUUCAUAUUAGUGAAGUAGACAUAUAAUUUUUGAUGGGUGGGCAUAUGAAUUACACCUUGGAAUUAAAAAGUUCUUAUUAAACUGCUGACCAAUUUAAAACUGAUUUCUGCAACAAUAUUUUGUUCUUGUUCUUAAUCCUGAUUUGUUACGUUUAAGACAAUACUAAACUCUGCUACAGACAAAAGAAACUAUUGAGAGCUCUAGAUAAGAAGAGUUAGAGUUAUGAAAUGUUGUGAUCCAUCUGCAAAGUCUGUUCUUUAUUCAAAUCAGUUGUGGGUGUGGUUUCACCUGAGGGAUGUUCCCAUGAUAGUUGCUUGGAAAAAUGAAGGAUACACCCUCAUAAAAAAGGGAAUAGGUACCACAAAACUACUUACCUAAAGUCUUCUGGAUCUAUAAAAUGUCAUGUAAUCAAAGUCUGAGUUCAUGAAUAAAAUGUCUGUGAUCAGUCAAAAAUAAUGUUUCGUAUUGAUGUUUUAAAGAAUGAAAUAAAAUGUAUUAGACACGUG